UUAACGGAAACACCCUUCCACUUCCCCUUGUCUUUUUCUGCAAUCACCAGACACAUUCACAGAAGCGGCCGAUAGGAAAUUCACCUUUAAGCCUUAGCCGGAGAAAGUACAGCGACUUGCAGCCGCUCAUCAGACUUCCAGGCCAGAGGAAACCAUUCUGAUCUAAUCUGACUUCCUGCAUAAUACAAGCCAAUAAUUUCGACAUCAACCCGAUAACUCCUAUUUGAGCUACAGCAUCUCUUUUAGAAAGAUAUCCAAUCUUGAUUUAAAGAUUUCAAGUGAUGAAGAUCCACCAUAACCCUAGAAAAAAAGGGGAAAUGAUUCCUUAAGAAAGAAUCUCCUGGUAUGGUUUGUGAUUGGGACAGCAUCUCCUGUCCAGCUCCUGAUAUCGUGCGCAGAUGUACACCAUUGACAUCCACAGAAAACUACUGGUUAAGAGUUUCAAGGAGCCCUUUGAUUUCUCUUUGGUGUUAAGCUGGAAGCCAGCUCUAUAAUAAAUCUUGACUUCCCCCUCAUGCUUUGCUUCAGGAAAAUACAAAGUAACUAUUGAUGCCUAUAUUGUUAUAGUAUGUCAUUAAUAAGUUUAUAAGCUUGGUGAAAAACAGACACAUAUAGAACACAGAACUAAUAAAGAAAGCUAAUUCUGUCUUUUAA